UACAGAGGUCCCAAGCGUUGUUCGGAUUCACUGGGCGUAAAGGGUGCGUAGGCGGCGCGGUAAGUCGGGUGUGAAUCUCGGAGCUUAACUCCGAAACUGCAUUCGAUACUGCCGUGCUUGAGGACUGGAGAGGAGACUGGAAUUUACGGUGUAGCGGUGAAAUGCGUAGAUAUCGUAAGGAAGACCAGUGGCGAAGGCGGGGUCUCUGGACAGUUCCUGACGCUGAGGCACGAAGGCCAGGGGAGCAAACGGG
rnacentral:rRNA from 1 species